UCUGGGAAACUGCCUGAUGGAGGGGGAUAACUACUGGAAACGGUAGCUAAUACCGCAUAACGUCGCAAGACCAAAGAGGGGGACCUUCGGGCCUCUUGCCAUCGGAUGUGCCCAGAUGGGAUUAGCUUGUUGGUGGGGUAACGGCUCACCUAGGCGACGAUCCCUAGCUGGUCUGAGAGGAUGACCAGCCACACUGGAACUGAGACACGGUCCAGACUCCUACGGGAGGCAGCAGUGGGGAAUAUUGCACAAUGGGCG
rnacentral:rRNA from 1 species